rnacentral:rRNA from 1 species
UACGGAGGGUGCGAGCGUUGUCCGGAAUCACUGGGCGUAAAGGGCGCGUAGGCGGCCCGGCAAGUCAACGGUGAAAGCUUGGGGCUCAACCCCGAGUCGGCCGUCGAUACUUCCGGGCUGGAGCACUGUAGAGGCAGGUGGAAUUCCGGGUGUAGCGGUGGAAUGCGUAGAGAUCCGGAAGAACACCGGUGGCGAAAGCGGCUCACUGGACCAUAACUGACGCUGAUGCACGAAAGCUAGGGGAGCAAACAGG